CACCUCUGACCUACAGAGGCUAAUUUUAAUGCAUUUAAAUGUUAAGCCACCAUCCCAAAGUGGACAUGGGCUGUAUGUAACAAGUAUGUUUGCU